rnacentral:snoRNA from 10 species
AGGAAACACUGAUGAGUAUGUAUCAUUAACCAAAGAUUAUUAGUAAUCUAAUUUUGUACCUCUGAGGUCCUAA